AUUAUUAUUACUUUCAUCGUCUUCUUCACUCUCACCAAACCCUAGCCGCCGCCGACACCUCAUCUUUGUUCGAGUGUUCUUCGUCCAGUCUAGAUAUCCACCUUUGUAGCCAUCUCCUCCAUUAUGUUGAUCGAGAACUAAGCCGCAAGGAAACAUCUCCUCCGUUGCAUGCCGCUAGUCGCAUGUUUACUUCAUCCGAAACCGAGCGUCUUUACGCCGCUUGUUCCUUCGCGAGUCACACGCUUAGCUACCCCGGUCUCCUUCAUCUGCAUUCGUUCACCGAUUAUGCCAAAACUUCCAACCACCGUCAGUCGUCGGAUUUUAUUGACUUUGUUGUUGUUGGGGUUUUGUGACAUACAUUAUAUCUUUUCUAAGAAGCUCACCUUUGCGCGAAACGAAAAAGAAUCUAUAAUUGGUUUGAUGAAGAAGAUGGUUGUAAUCAGUUGGAUGAAGAAGAUGGUUGACAAGAAGAAAAUUCUUUGAUUUGCAGUGAAUGUAUGAAGACUUUGAAGGUUUCGAGGAGGACGAAUCUUGAAGCUCCAAUAUUUUCUGCAAAUGAUCGAAGACUUUGAAGAUUUGAUGGAAUCUACGAAAGUGGAAGGUGCUUGAUUCUUUCAUGAAAUGUUGGGUUAGAGCCUAUAGCGAUGGCACCUUGGUCAUCACAAAACACAUCAGUUGGCAGCAAAGAGGUGAUAUUCAAGUCUUUUAAAAGUUGAGAGAUCCAUAAUAACUCACUGGUUACUGAGGCCAAAACUUUACAUUAUGCUUCUGUAGUAGAUCUUGAGAUAGUGCUUGCUUUUUCGACUUUCAUGAUACAAGGGAAUCUCCCAAGAAAAUGAAACAACCUAAAAUAUAUCUUCUAGUGUCAAGGCAAGCUCCCCAAUCUGUAUCAACAUAAGCCUUGAGGUGGAAUUCCUUGACAUGUUUGAUUAAAAUGCCCUGUCUUUAUUACUUA